AUGGAAGUCUACUUAAAAUGCUGAAAAGAUAAUGCUCUUCCAUGGGGUUACCAAUUUGUGAUCAGUAUUUUCAGAGAGUCCAAGACUGAGUGCAUAAAGUAAGAUGCAAGAAAAGAAAAAGAUGGAAAUCUUCAAGCGCGCUUCUGGAUCUAGAAGAUAUUGACCUUAUUCUACUGAGGAUCUGAGUCUCUGGUUAAACGUUCUCUUCCAGAU
rnacentral:lncRNA from 1 species